rnacentral:SRP_RNA from 1 species
CCAUACUAUCCGGGGAGUUAGCGGUGCCUUGUACCUGCAAUCCGCUCCAGCAGGGGUGAUAUGCCAAUAUGAGGGCAAAGUUUGUGUCGCCGCAUCCUUGUAAAGCCGUUGAGAAAUGGGUCCUGCGCAAUUCGCACCUGUGAAUCAUGUCAGGUGGGGAACCAAGCAGCAUUAAGCAGAUCUGCGGAUGUGCCGCGGGGUCGCCUGUUUUGAGGCUGAGCAUGGGUUUCCGGAUGGAAAUUUUGUUCGAACUUGGCUGUAUGG